rnacentral:rRNA from 1 species
GACGAACGCUGGCGGCGUGCUUAACACAUGCAAGUCGAACGGAAAGGCCCUGCUUUUGUGGGGUGCUCGAGUGGCGAACGGGUGAGUAACACGUGAGUAACCUGCCCUUGACUUUGGGAUAACUUCAGGAAACUGGGGCUAAUACCGGAUAGGAGCUCCUGCUGCAUGGUGGGGGUUGGAAAGUUUCGGCGGUUGGGGAUGGACUCGCGGCUUAUCAGCUUGUUGGUGGGGUAGUGGCUUACCAAGGCUUUGACGGGUAGCCGGCCUGAGAGGGUGACCGGCGACAUUGGGACUGAGAGACGGCGCAGACUCCUACGGGAGGCAGCAGUGGGGAAUAUUGCACAAUGGGCGGAAGCGUGAGGCAGCAACGCCGCGUGCGGGAUGACGUCCUUCGGGUUGUAAACCGCUUUCGCCUGUGACGAAGCGUGAGUGACGGUAAUGGAUAAAGAAGCACCGGCUAACUACGUG